rnacentral:rRNA from 1 species
GCCAAUACUAGCCCUAAGCAUAACCAACACUAAUACCAAACCAACAUACACUAAACCAUUCACCUACACAAAGUAUAGGCGAUAGAAAUUUUAAUCUGGCGCUAUAGACAUAGUACCGUAAGGGAAAGAUAGAAAACCACCCAAGCACAAAACAGCAAAGACUAACUCCUGUACCUUUCGCAUAAUGAAUUAGCUAGAAACAAUUUUACGAAGAGGACUACAAGCCAAAUCCCCCGAAACCAGACGAGCUACCCAAAAACAGCUAAAAGAGCGCACCCGCCUAUGUGGCAAAAUAGUGGGAAGAUUUCUGGGUAGAGGUGACAAGCCUACCGAGCCUGGUGAUAGCUGGUUAUCCAAGACAGAAUCUUAGUUCAACCUUAAGCUUACCUACAGAACUACCUAAUCCCCCUGUAAGCUUAACUGCUAGUCUAAAGAGGGACAGCUCUUUAGACACUAGGAAAAAACCUUAUGGAGAGAGUAAAACCCUCAAUCACCAUAGUUGGCUUAAAAGCAGCCAUCAAUUAAGAAAGCGUUCAAGCUCAACACUAACCACCACAAAAAUACCAAACACAUAACUGAACUCCUCACACCACAUUGGAUUAAUCUAUCACCAUAUAGAAGCAAUAAUGCUAGUAUAAGUAACAUGAAUAUUUUCUCCACCGCAUAAGCCUAAAUCGGACCGAAAGCCUCACCGAUAUUUAACAGCCAGGCAUAACAAGCACAAACAAGCCCAUGCCACCUUCACUGUUAAUCCAACACAGGCAUGCCCCAAGGAAAGGUUAAAAAAAGUAAAAGGAACUCGGCAAACCCAAACCCCGCCUGUUUACCAAAAACAUCACCUCUAGCAUUACUAGUAUUAGAGGCACUGCCUGCCCAGUGACACACGUUUAACGGCCG